CAGUCGCCGCGGUAAUACGAAGGGGGCUAGCGUCGUUCGGAAUUACUGGGCGUAAAGCGCACGCAGGCGGCUCGAUAAAUUAGAAGUGAAAGCCUUGAGCUUAACCUGAGAAUUGCUUUUAAGACUGUCGAGCUAGAAUCCAGAAGAGGGUAGUGGAAUUCCGAGUGUAGAGGUGAAAUUCGUAGAUAUUCGGAAGAACACCAGUGGCGAAGGCGACUACCUGGUCUGGCAUUGACGCUCAUGUGCGAAAGCGUGGGGAGCAAACAGGAUUAGAUACCCCAGUAGUCCCUGUCUCUUAUAC
rnacentral:rRNA from 1 species